GACAGUCUGGCCGAGCGGUUAAGGCGUUACACUCGAAUUUUUAACUUCUCUCCUCGGGUAAUUUUUCGCGAAGAUAGGAGGUUUCUUUUAACUUGAAGCUAUGUAAUGGGUUUACCCGCACAGGUUCGAAUCCUGUGGCUGUCG
rfam:Hanseniaspora valbyensis NRRL Y-1626 HANVAscaffold_26, whole genome shotgun sequence.